AUUGAACGCUGGCGGCAUGCCUUACACAUGCAAGUCGAACGGCAGCACGGGAGCAAUCCUGGUGGCGAGUGGCGAACGGGUGAGUAAUAUAUCGGAACGUGCCCGGUCGUGGGGGAUAACGUAGCGAAAGCUACGCUAAUACCGCAUACGAUCUACGGAUGAAAGCGGGGGAUCGCAAGACCUCGCGCGAUUGGAGCGGCCGAUAUCAGAUUAGGUAGUUGGUGAGGUAAAGGCUCACCAAGCCGACGAUCUGUAGCUGGUCUGAGAGGACGACCAGCCACACUGGGACUGAG
rnacentral:rRNA from 1 species